rnacentral:lncRNA from 1 species
AUAUUCUUUUCCUUGUUUCUCCGAUUUUUAUAGUGUUACUCAUUGCCAUACAAAAGAGAAUAUAAAGGUGUACAUAGAAAUUAGCUACUAGUGAAACCAAAUUACCAAUUAUACCGUUCUAACUGUAUAUAUCUGAAACAUGACUUCAAAAUAAGACUAAUGGAGCAAUGCUUAUAUUCAAUACAGUGAAGCUUCUCCGAUUGUAAUUCACGUAGCUGUGUACAAUUACAUGAUGUAUUACCCUUCAUAUUUAUUUGUUGUAUGGGGAGCUUGAUUCGGUAUGAAUUGCCCUUCGUAUUUACUAAACAAAAAUCCCAAAAAAGGGUCAUUCAACCCCAGAAAACAUGUUAUGCAAAACAAUGUGCAUGACUAAUGGAAUCAAAAAACCAAGAAAGUCUUAAAUGCUUUAGAGCUUUGUGAUGAAAAUGUAGAGUACUAAACGUGGGGUUAUUGUAAAAACUCAUCUGGUGACCUUUCUUUCCUUCACAAAAAGACACAUUCAUGAUUCCUGAGCUUGUUCAAACGAGAAUCAAGUAAAUCGCCCCCCCCCCCCCCCCCCCCCCAACCCCCCACUCUUGUAUCAUUCUUUCUCAAAUACUACAUUGGGAAUUCAGAAGAGGAGCGUCUGUUUGUAAAUGGAUCAUUUUAGGGCAGUCGAGGGUCCACUACGGCCGACCACUGCCUUAUCUUUCUCCAAAGUGACGCCGCCCACCCACCUUUUAUGUCAAAUAUGUCCUACGAAUGAGAGAAGAUUGUAAAGAAAAAAAGAAAAAAAAAGAAAAAAAGAAAAAAAAAAAGAGAGAAGAUUGUAAACAAAGAAAGCUAGGCUCCUCUAUAUGAAAAUGAAAUGAUGCCGCUACCCUUUCCGAACCGUAUUUCUCAAUCUUGUGUAUUACUGUGUUACAACAAAUCCGAAAUUCUCAGAGGUUUUCUAGCACAUACUGGUAUGUCAAAAUGUUUCAUAUCAUUCGAUCAUCAAUAACCUUAACUCGACCACAUGUAGUGGUUGCUGUCACGUUCUUCCAAUGUACCAAAGAAAAAGAAAACUAUAUAUUAGCUACAUAAAAUCUAGAUUGCAGUAUACAUGUGUUGACCAUUGGAAAAUAAAAACAAACAUAGAUUUUAUUGAAAGAGAAAAAUAUACACAAGGUUGGAUUUUUUGGAUCAAAUGUAUGCCUAGUUUUGGUGCAAACAAACCUUUUUUCUGUAGCUGCUACUCUUAGAUUAUGUUAAGUUACUUUUACUCGUCUCCCCAGUCUUUCGAGAGAUUGAAUCAUAAUUAGAGACCAAACAACUAGCUGCAUAGCUGAUUUUUUGAAAGAUUAUGAAUGGUGCCCAUCCAUCAACUACACCGAGAGCGAAGCUAACGAGUAGGAAAACCAACUAUUAACAACUAACCUUUUUUCCUAAUAUCAUUGAGCAUAUCACACUACUAUGCAAAUUGAUUUAUCAUAAGGCAAGAAAAUCUGAAUGGGCCUCAAUGAUCUUGUACCUAUAAAGAAGAGAGAGCAGCUAAUUACACAUUGCAUCACUAUUAUGCAAAUGGAUUAUGACCCUCUAGCUACUUCUCUUCUUAAUCAAAGAGGGUAUUUCUGUCAGGCCAGGCAAGGUUUGGUUCAGGGUAUUUCUUAAUCACAACUAAAUAUAAUAAGUCAGUGCCCUAAUGUGGACUCCUCAUGUCACAAGCUUGAAUUUGAUUAUUCAAUUCAUAAAAAGCAUAAGCAGAUAGCAAAAACAAUGCCUAAGAGUAGGGCCCAAACUUGAGCUGUUAGUGCAUGUCAGCAUCAGACUCUUGUCCUAGCCUUGUUCAAAUUCCAUUUCCCUCAGCAAAGUCACAGCUCAAAGUUAAACAAAAAGGCCACCCACUGCAAACCAAAGAAAAACCAGAACAAGGAACCCCAAGGAAUCUCUGGUUCUUUGGGUUCCAGGACUUCCUUGGCUUUUGCUUCUGCAAGUAAUUUUCCAUCAAAACAAACCAUGCCUCGAGAGGUAAUUAGUCAUCUUUCUCAGCUUUGAUUCCCCACCUCAGAAGGGAAGACAUAGCCCUCUUCUCCCUUAUUGUCUAUUUGUCUUUGCUUCUGGUUUUCCUUUCAACAUGGUCCAAAGGAAGGUACAAACCAAGCUUGCAAUCCAAGUAGAUCCUAAUGUCAAGUUCGAGAAGCGGUUGGUAAACCUUAAACCAUCUUCUCAGUUCCAAGAUGGCAAAAAUAGAGGAGGAGCUGAUUUGAAGAAGAAGAAGAUGAAGAAGUCAAGAUCAACCAAGCUUUCAGAUAUUGACAGCUUGAGAUCACCAUCACCAUCUUCAUCACUUCCUUUGAGAAAUAGCAUGUCCCUGCCCGGAAAGCCACUGCCUCUCAAUGUUCAAAGCAUUUCAGCAGCAGCAGUCCCUCUGAAGCAGGCUCUCACCAAAACAACUGAUGGCUCAGCACCAAACUAUAUGAAGUCCACCAGCUGUUCAGUUGCAAGGAAGGAGCAAUCACAGGUUAGUGUUAGAAAUUCUCCGGUUAAUUCGGAUAGUAGGAAUCAAAACCGAAGAAAUUUGAGCAACUCAAAACUUAGCUCUGGCUCUAUCAAUAAACCAGCUCGGACAUCUAGUCUGAAGUUGGUGAGAACUCUAAUAAAGUCUCCUAGUUUUAAGCCUGCAAGAACUUCAGCCAAGAAAAAUUCCAGGGUUGCUCUUUGUGAAGAUGUAAAUAUUCAGAAAGCAACCUGUUCUUCAACACUGAAGGACUCCAAGUUUCCCGAGUAUCUGAUGAUUAGUCCUGGCGGAACAGAAGCUGAGGGAACUUCAGUGAUGAAGGUUUGCCCCUAUACUUACUGCUCUCUCAAUGGACAUCAUCAUCAACCUGUGACUCCACUGAAGUGUUUCUUGUCGGCACGAAGACGGUCUUUGAAGAACCAGAAGAUGGUGAAACUGCAAGCUCUAAGUCCUCGUAAAUCAAAGCCAUCUAAUAAGGGAAUGAAUGAAAAUGGUUUGAAGCAGAUGUGUUUUAAUGAUAAUGAAAAACCUGCUCAACAAGAAGUGGGGAUCGAUUACUUUGUUGAAAUAUUUGCUAAAAGCAAGGACGAUGAUGCUCAAACAAUUGUGAAGAAUAUACCUGAAGCAGAAAUUAUAGAUAGCUUUCCCGGGGAGGAGCAAAAAGAAGAUGUGGCAGAUGAAGUAUACCAACCUCUGGAUCAAGAAGCAGAUGAAGUAUACCAACCUUCUUUGGAUCAAGAACCUGCCAUGCGAAGUUGUUCGAGUGAGAGUGAAUCGGAUGGACUUUCAAGCAUUGAAGUGGAUUAUGCCAAUUCUGAAGCAACUGAGAUGGAGUGGGAGGAAGGCCAAUUUUCCGUUGCAGUGCUGGAUGAUGAAUCCGGUUCAAAAGCUGGGCUUUCAUCAAUUCAAGAUGGUGAUAUGCAUGAAGAAC